rnacentral:pre_miRNA from 1 species
UCCAGGAGUUGGAAGGCUGAUGCUGCUGCUGUUUCCCCUUAGCCUACCUAGUCCUGAUU